GACGAACGCUGGCGGCGUGCUUAACACAUGCAAGUCGAACGGAAAGGCCCUGCUUUUGUGGGAUGCUCGAGUGGCGAACGGGUGAGUAACACGUGAGUAACCUGCCCUUGACUUUGGGAUAACUUCAGGAAACUGGGGCUAAUACCGGAUAGGAGCUCCUGCUGCAUGGUGGGGGUUGGAAAGUUUCGGCGGUUGGGGAUGGACUCGCGGCUUAUCAGCUUGUUGGUGGGGUAGUGGCUUACCAAGGCUUUGACGGGUAGCCGGCCUGAGAGGGUGACCGGCCACAUUGGGACUGAGAUACGGCCCAGACUCCUACGGGAGGCAGCAGUGGGGAAUAUUGCACAAUGGGCGGAAGCCUGAUGCAGCAACGCCGCGUGCGGGAUGACGGCCUUCGGGUUGUAAACCGCUUUCGCCUGUGACGAAGCGCGAGUGACGGUAAUGGGUAAAGAAGCACCGGCUAACUACGUG
rnacentral:rRNA from 1 species